rnacentral:rRNA from 1 species
AUUGAACGCUGGCGGCAGGCUUAACACAUGCAAGUCGAGCGAGCGGCGGACGGGUGAGUAAUGUCUGGGAAACUGCCUGAUGGAGGGGGAUAACUACUGGAAACGGUAGCUAAUACCGCAUACCAUCAGAUGUGCCCAGAUGGGAUUAGCUAGUAGGUGGGGUAAUGGCUCACCUAGGCGACGAUCCCUAGCUGGUCUGAGAGGAUGAUCAGCCACACUGGGACUGAGACACGGCCCAGACUCCUACGGGAGGCAGCAGUGGGGAAUAUUGCACAAUGGGCGAAAGCCUGAUGCAGCCAUGCCGCGUGUAUGAAGAAGGCCUUCGGGUUGUAAAGUACUUUCAGUGGUGAGGCGUUAGCAACAGAAGAAGCACCGGCUAACUCCGUGCCAGCAGCCGCGGUAAUAC